rnacentral:rRNA from 1 species
GACGAACGCUGGCGGCGUGCUUAACACAUGCAAGUCGAACGGAAAGGCCCUGCGUUUGUUGGUUUCUCGAGUGGCGAACGGGGGAGUAACACGUGAGUAACAUGCCCUUGACUGUGGGGUAACUUCAGGGAACUGGGGCUAUAAUAGGAGAUGAUCUCCUGCUGCGUGGUGGUGGUUGGAAAGUUUCGGCGGUGGGGGAUGGUUUCGCUGCAUAUGCGCUUGAUGGGGGGGUAGUGGCUGCCCAAGGCUUUGACGGGUAGCCGGCCUGGGAGGGUGAACGGCCACCAUGGGCCUGCGAUACGGACCAGAAUCGAAUGGGCGGCAGUAGUCGGGAAUAUUGCACAAUGGCCGGAAGCCAGAUGCAGAAACGCCGCGUGCGGGAUGACCGCUUACGAGUUGUAAACAGCUUUCGACUGUGACGAAGCGUGAGUGACGGUAAUGGGUCAAGAAGCACCGGCUAACUACGUG